UGGACUCACUCCCCAGCAUGAAGGCGCUGAGCCCGGUGCGCGGCUGCUACGAGGCGGUGUGCUGCCUGUCAGAACGCAGUCUGGCCAUCGCCCGGGGCCGAGGGAAGGGCCCCGCAGCUGAGGAGCCGCUGAGCUUGCUGGACGACAUGAACCACUGCUACUCCCGCUUGCGGGAACUGGUACCCGGAGUCCCGAGAGGCACUCAGCUUAGCCAGGUGGAAAUCCUCCAGCGCGUCAUCGACUACAUUCUCGACCUGCAGGUGGUCCUGGCUGAGCCAGCCCCUGGACCCCCUGACGGCCCCCACCUCCCCAUCCAGACAACCGAGCUCUCUCCGGAACUUGUCAUCUCCAACGACAAAAGGAGCUUUUGCCACUGACCUGGCCGUGUCCUGACACCUCCAGGUGAGUGUCCUCUCUCUUGGAGAGGGAGGUUUAAACGGCAAGUCCUGGAGUUGGCAGACGUUUUGAAAGAUUGCGACUCCCUCGGUUUAGGGAAACAGGCCAGAGAGGGACGAGUGACUUGCCCAUGGUUGCAUCAAAUGAAUGGCAGAGUCAGUUUCCCUGUGAUGUGCAUUUCAGCCUUAAAUGCGCGUGGCCCCUGCCCUCCCGCAGUGGCCGAGGGUCUGGGAGAGUAGACACGGGUCCGACUAAAUACAAGUCUUUCUGUUCCAUGUUGUAUAGGGAGCUGUGUCUUCGGCAGCCCCCUCCCAGCUACUGUCAGUUCCAAGUGGGAGGGGUAGCGCAAGCUCCGCCUGUGGUCUUUGGCGCCAACUGGGUGGGGGCAGCGUGGGGCGCGGAGUUAUCAGCUGGAGGUAGAGACCAAGUUUCCUCCCUGGCGCCGGCCAGUCUGCGGACGGCCCCCGCCUCGGCGCGCUCGGCGGAAACUGACUGC
rnacentral:sRNA from 1 species